GAUGAACGCUGGCGGCGUGCUUAACACAUGCAAGUCGAACGGUGAAGGCGGAGCUUGCUCUGCUGGAUCAGUGGCGAACGGGUGAGUAACACGUGAGCAAUCUGCCCCUGACUCUGGGAUAAGCGCUGGAAACGGCGUCUAAUACUGGAUACGAGCUGCGCAGGCAUCUUCAGCAGCUGGAAAGAAUUUCGGUCAGGGAUGAGCUCGCGGCCUAUCAGCUUGUUGGUGAGGUAAUGGCUCACCAAGGCGUCGACGGGUAGCCGGCCUGAGAGGGUGACCGGCCACACUGGGACUGAGACACGGCCCAGACUCCUACGGGAGGCAGCAGUGGGGAAUAUUGCACAAUGGGCGAAAGCCUGAUGCAGCAACGCCGCGUGAGGGACGACGGCCUUCGGGUUGUAAACCUCUUUUAGCAGGGAAGAAGCGAAAGUGACGGUACCUGCAGAAAAAGCGCCGGCUAACUACGUG
rnacentral:rRNA from 1 species